rfam:Xenopus tropicalis strain Nigerian Chr06_contig_3278, whole genome shotgun sequence.
GGUUUCAUAGUGUAGUGGUCAUCACGUCUGCUUUACACGCAGAAGGUCCUGGGUUCAUUCCCCAGUGAAACCA